GACGAACGCUGGCGGCGUGCUUAACACAUGCAAGUCGAACGGAAAGGCCUGCUUUCCCUUGUGGAUUGCGGGUACUCGCGUGGCGAACGGGUGAGUAACACGUGAGUGAUCUGCCCCCAACUUGGGUAUAAGCCUGGGAAACUGGGUCUAAUUCCCGAUAGGACUGCAGGGUGGUGCCUGUGGUGGAAAACGAUUUUCUAGUGGUUGGGGAUGAGCUCGCGGCCUAUCAGCUUGUUGGUGGGGUAAUGGCCUACCAAGGCGGCGACGGGUAGCCGGCCUGAGAGGGUGGACGGCAACAUUGGGACUGAGAUACGGCCCAGACUCCUACGGGAGGCAGCAGUGGGGAAUAUUGCACAAUGGGCGGAAGCCUGAUGCAGCGACGCCGCGUGGGGGAUGACGGCCUUCGGGUUGUAAACUCCUUUCGACCGCGAGGAAGCCACCUGGUUGGAAGGGUGGUGACGGUAGUGGUAGAAGAAGCACCGGCUAACUACGUG
rnacentral:rRNA from 1 species